AUGCAAGUCGAGCGAACAGACGAGGAGCUUGCUCCUUUGACGUUAGCGGCGGACGGGUGAGUAACACGUAGGUAACCUACCUAUAAGACUGGGAUAACUUCGGGAAACCGGAGCUAAUACCGGAUAAUAUUUCGAACCGCAUGGUUCGAUAGUGAAAGAUGGCUUUGCUAUCACUUAUAGAUGGACCUGCGCCGUAUUAGCUAGUUGGUAAGGUAACGGCUUACCAAGGCAACGAUACGUAGCCGACCUGAGAGGGUGAUCGGCCACACUGGAACUGAGACACGGUCCAGACUCCUACGGGAGGCAGCAGUAGGGAAUCUUCCGCAAUGGGCGAAAGCCUGACGGAGCAACGCCGCGUGAGUGAUGAAGGUCUUCGGAUCGUAAAACUCUGUUAUUAGGGAAGAACAAACGUGUAAGUAACUGUGCACGUCUUGACGGUACCUAAUCAGAA
rnacentral:rRNA from 1 species